GGUGUAUGUGUGUUUUAUAAUAACACACAACUUCAAACAGAUAACAACAUAAAUUGUAGCCAAUCCUCUUCGUGCCCUGGCCGAUUUCUCUCCUCAAAGGCCCACCUAUACGAUCCUUGUAAAUCAAUCGAAUUAACAUCAACAAUUCCAUCAACCAAUAAAACAGUGACUUUUGUUCCUGAAGAUAAUUCAGAAGUGCAUACCACUGUCUUCAUAUUAGUUGCGGUUACAAUACUUUUUUGUAUUGGAUUGGCAUUUUUCAUUCUAAAGAGAUGGAAAGACAGACAUAGAAUGAAUAUAACAGGUU